CCUACGGGUGGCAGCAGUCGAGAAUCAUUCACAAUGGGGGAAACCCUGAUGGUGCGACGCCGCGUGGGGGAAUGAAGGUCUUCGGAUUGUAAACCCCUGUCAUGUGGGAGCAAAUUAAAAAGAUAGUACCACAAGAGGAAGAGACGGCUAACUCUGUGCCAGCAGCCGCGGUAAUACAGAGGUCUCAAGCGUUGUGCGGAAUCACUGGGCGUAAAGCGCUAGUAGGCGGUAUUUCAAGUCAAGGGUGAAAACCCCGCGCUCAACGUGGGAACUGCCUUGGAAACUGGCAAACUGGAGUGUGUGAGAGGAUAGGGUAAUGCCAGGUGUAGGAGUGAAAUCCGUAGAUAUCUGGAGGAACAUCAGUGGCGAAGGCGACUAUCUGGCACAUAACUGACGCUGAGGAGCGAAAGCGUGGGUAGCAAACAGGAUUAGAUACCCCGGUAGUC
rnacentral:rRNA from 1 species